UACAGAGGGGGCAAGCGUUGUUCGGAAUUACUGGGCGUAAAGGGCGCGUAGGCGGCCUUCUAAGUCGAACGUGAAAUCCCCGGGCUCAACCUGGGAACUGCAUCCGAUACUGGAUGGCUUGAAUCCGGGAGAGGGAUGCAGAAUUCCAGGUGUAGCGGUGAAAUGCGUAGAUAUCUGGAGGAAUACCGGUGGCGAAGGCGGCAUCCUGGACCGGCAUUGACGCUGAUGAGCGAAAGCUAGGGGAGCAAACGGG
rnacentral:rRNA from 1 species